rnacentral:tRNA from 1 species
GACAUCUUCGUCUAAUUGGUUAGGACAGCAUUCUUUCAAGAUGCUAACACGGGUUCGAAUCCCGUAGAUGUUAC